CAGCAUAACAGCCUCUGCCCUUGCUGCUGGGUCCACUUGGCCUUGGAGGGUGGGGAAGGGGCCUUCUGACAGUAACAGGACAGAUCUUCUCGUCCUCUCUGGUGAAGCUGCCCUCUGGUGCCGUGGUCUGACUGCUGUAAUAGGAUACUCGAGACAGGGUUGCUUCUACGCAGAAACCUGUGCUCUGACUGUCCUCAGGCUGCUCAUCCAGCUGCGGACAUCUGAUUCUAAAACACCCUCAAGGGGUUGAUGGUGAGGAGGAUUUGGCCAGCACCCACAAAGCCAUGAGGACGUCAGGGAAGGAUCCAUGCACGACAGAGGCCCUC